rnacentral:rRNA from 1 species
AUGAACUCCUCAAUGACUACCCCCACCGUGGACCACUGGCUUCGGUCCGCCGCUCUGGAUAACCUACAGGAGCUUGAGUUCGCCGGCCGCGGGUUCACCUGCCCGGCAUCAAUCUUCCGCUUUGAACGCACCCUCCGCGUGGCAAACAUCAGGCACUGCAUGCUCCCGGACGCCGCGGUCCAAGGCCUUCAUUUUCCCCAGCUUAAGCAGCUCGGACUCGAAUGUGUCCACGUCUCGGAGUCCUCGCUGCACCGCUUGAUCGCCGGAUGCCCCGCACUAGAGUUCUUGCUGAUCCUCAGUAGCUCCGGCUUCCACAGCCUCCGGAUCAACUCCCUCAGCCUUAGAAAAAUAUGCAUACGCACCUCCGGAUCAACUCAGCCCCAGUUCGGGGAACUCAUCAUUGAAAACGCCCCUCGUCUUGAGAGCUUGAUUCAUCUGUAUAAGAUUUGGAGCAUCGGUGAUCUGUCCGUAUACACCGCGCCUAAAGUGGACGCCUUGGACUUCCUUACUGAUUUGCAAGGAUUUCGUCAGUCUGGUGUAUCAUCCGAAACAAAUUGGUGGCGUCGUAAACACAAGGAUUUUAUAAGAUGUCAUGACAUCCGUCUGAAGAUUGUGGUGCUGGAAACGUAUCAGGGCACAUUAUCGCAUGUUAACUUUGCCACAUUCUUUCUACUGAACGCGAGAAUGCUGGAGCUGAUGACAUUUCAUAUCGAGGCCAGUGUUUACAGCGACGAGUUCUUGGUAGAACAACGUAAGAGGCUUCAGCUAGAUAACAGGGCUUCAAGAGGUGCUCGGUUUCGUUUUACAAUUGCUAGCUGUCAACAUGCUGUUUGGAGCACCAAGCAUCUCGGCGAGUUUGACUUGAAUGAUGAUCCUUUCACAUGUAGAUGUUGA